rnacentral:miRNA from 1 species
AUUGGGUUGACCAAAAAGUUCAUUCAGGUUUUUCCAUACCAUCUUACAGAAAAACUGGAGUGAACUUUUUGGUCAACCCAA